rnacentral:rRNA from 1 species
AGAGUUUGAUCAUGGCUCAGAAUCAACGCUGGCGGCGCGCUUAACACAUGCAAGUCGCACGAGAAAGUGGAGCAAUCCAUGAGUAAAGUGGCGUACGGGUGAGUAACACGUGGAUCAUCUACCUCUUGGCGGGGAAUAACCCUGGGAAACCGGGGCUAAUACCGCAUAAGCCUGAAAAGGGAAAGCAGCAAUGCACCGAGAGAGGAGUCCGCGGCCGAUUAGCUAGUUGGUAGGGUAAUGGCCUACCAAGGCAAUGAUCGGUAGCCGGCCUGAGAGGGCACACGGCCACACUGGCACUGAAACACGGGCCAGACUCCUACGGGAGGCAGCAGUGGGGAAUCUUGCACAAUGGAGGAAACUCUGAUGCAGCGACGCCGCGUGAGCGAUGAAGCCCUUCGGGGUGUAAAGCUCUUUCGACGGGAACGAUAAUGACGGUACCCGGAGAAGAAGCUGCGGCUAACUACGUGCCAGCAGCCGCGGUAAUACGUAGGCAGCAAGCGUUGUUCGGAAUUACUGGGCGUAAAGAGUGUGUAGGCGGUUCUCUAUGUUCGGUGUGAAAUCUCCCGGCUUAACUGGGAGGGUGCGCCGAAAACUGGAGGGCUUGAGUAUGGGAGAGGAAAGCGGAAUUCCUGGUGUAGCGGUGAAAUGCGUAGAUAUCAGGAGGAACACCUGAGGUGUAGACGGCUUUCUGGACCAUCACUGACGCUGAGACACGAAAGCGUGGGUAGCAAACAGGAUUAGAUACCCCAGUAGUCC